CCUACGGGGGGCAGCAGUGGGGAAUAUUGCACAAUGGGCGCAAGCCUGAUGCAGCCAUGCCGCGUGUGUGAAGAAGGCCUUCGGGUUGUAAAGCACUUUCAGCGGGGAGGAAGGCGGUGAGGUUAAUAACCUCAUCGAUUGACGUUACCCGCAGAAGAAGCACCGGCUAACUCCGUGCCAGCAGCCGCGGUAAUACGGAGGGUGCAAGCGUUAAUCGGAAUUACUGGGCGUAAAGCGCACGCAGGCGGUCUGUCAAGUCGGAUGUGAAAUCCCCGGGCUCAACCUGGGAACUGCAUUCGAAACUGGCAGGCUAGAGUCUUGUAGAGGGGGGUAGAAUUCCAGGUGUAGCGGUGAAAUGCGUAGAGAUCUGGAGAAAUACCGGUGGCGAAGGCGGCCCCCUGGACAAAGACUGACGCUCAGGUGCGAAAGCGUGGGGAGCAAACAGGAUUAGAUACCCGAGUAGUC
rnacentral:rRNA from 1 species